rnacentral:lncRNA from 10 species
ACUCAGUAGAGGAAGCUGAGACUGAGCAGCCGCAGGAACGAGGUGUUUUAGUGACUUGCAGAAAUACCUCCACCUUGCCUGGGCCCGGAGUCACAGGAGACCCUGCAGAAGAUGAAGAAUGUUCUGGAAAAAUGUAACAAAGACCUGCCCAGGCUGCCUCCAGCAUCCCGCAACGGCCUACAAAUCCUCUCUGGACUACACCAAACGAAGUCUGGGGAUUUUCAUUGACCUCCAGAAGAAAGAGGCGGCGCAUGCCUGGCUGCAAGCAGGGAAGAUCUAUUACAUCCUGUACAUCCAGGUGAGUGGCAAGGGCUGCUGGAGAGCCCCUGUGCUGUUCACUCUGUCCAUCCAUCCAUUCAUCCUUCCAUCAUCUAUUUACCUGUUCAUCCAUCUGUCCAUUCAUCCAUCCUUUUAUCAUCCAUCUAUUCACCCAUCCAUCCAUUCAUCCUUCCAUCACCUGUUUACCUGUGGGUCCAUCCAUCUAUUAUCCAUCCAUCCUUUUAUCAUCCAUUCACCUGUCCAUCCAACUGUUCAUCUAUCCUUCCAUCAUCCAUCUGUUCACCUGUUUAUUUUUCCAUUAUCCAUCCAUUUAGCUGUUCAUCUUUCUAUCCAUCCAUCCAUUCACCUGUCUGUCCAUCCAUCCAACCAUCCAUUCACCUGUUCAUCCUUCCUUCCAUCCAUCUAUCCACUCACCUCCUGUUCAUCCUUCCAUCAUCCAUCCUCCUCUUCAUCCUUCCAUCUAUUCCCCCAUCCAUCCAUCUACCCACCAAUCUACCUAUUAAUACAUCCCUCCAUUCAUCUGUCCAUUUGUUUAUCCAUACAUUUGUCUACCCACCCACCCAUUCAUCUGUCCGUCCACCCAAGCAUCCGUCUAUCCACACACCCAUCCAUCCAUCCACUCAUUCCUAAGCCACUGCUGAGCAUCUGUUGUAUGCCUUUUCCCUCCGUCCAACUGGUUCCCUCAUAUCCUCCCCCAGUGGCCAGCAUCUUCUCCCUGAGGGCAGAGGCGUGGCCCCUCAGUGCCCAGCACCUGCUGGUAUACAGCACAUGCUCAAAUAAUGUGGCCACUCAGUUAACACACGGAAGAACCUGCUCCAAGCAACACGUGGCACAUCUCCUUACAAAAUGCAUCUAUCUUAGCGGCUGUUUUCAGAGGCUUUCCCAGUGUGAUCUGGAACAACUUGUGAAACCCACGAACCUGGUGAAGCUUUCAUCAUUGAGCACCUGCUGUAUACCUCCUUGA